rnacentral:rRNA from 1 species
GAUAUGGCUCAGGACGAACGCUGGCGGCGUGCUUAACACAUGCAAGUCGAACGAGAGGACAAGAGAAGCUUGCUUCUUUUGGAAUCGAGUGGCAAACGGGUGAGUAACACGUAAACAACCUGCCUUCAGGAUGGGGACAACAGACGGAAACGACUGCUAAUACCGAAUACGCUUGGGAGACCGCAUGAUCUACCAAGGAAAGGGUGGCCUCUACCUGUAAGCUAUCGCCUGAAGAGGGGUUUGCGU